GGUAAUAACAAAUAUUUUGAGUAUCACACUAUCAGGACAGUAGGAAAGAAAAGUAUAUCUGAUUGGUUUAUUUGAGAAAUCGGGUAAUUGAUGUUCUGAGUUAUUUUAUCAGAAGUAGACCUCCAAUUUGUACUUGCAAAAAGAAUUAAUUGAGAAUCGAAUUGGGGCGUAUGAGGAAAAUUUCUCAUUGAUGAGAUGAUUAUGAUUGGUUUACUCUACGAUUGGUACAAAGAAAAACAGUAAAG
rnacentral:lncRNA from 1 species